UUACGGCCAUAUCAUGUGGAAACACCGGUUCCCGUACGAUCACCUAAGUUAAACAACGUCGAGUUUGGUUAUUCCCUAGAUGGGUGACCGCUUGAAAAUACC